AAACAGAAAUAAAUCAAGCACAAAAUUGAAUUGAUGAUUACAAUUAACUACUGAAUUCUGAAAAUUGAGCUGGAAAUUUCCCAACAAGAAGUGAUUUUUCGACAGUUGAAUUGGGACAAAGAAGAAUUUGUCACAUGGACACAUAUGUAGUGUCUGACCUUAACCGAGAAUUUGUCACAUUCAAGAUAACUAACACAUGAAGGAUCCCAUUAGCAUCUAUUUUGAAGCAAACCUCUAGUUGCGACUCCCCAUCAAUACCUGGUGUAAGGCCACGAAGGUCGAACUCGCCAAGUAAUAAGUUGUCAUUAAGUUUGUUGUGCUCUCCUUGAUACACCGAGAUAGUUACAACUGUUGAGCCUUUGUGUGAAUAAACUAUCUCUUUCUUGCUUGCGGGUACGGACGUGUUUCUAGGAAUAACUACAAGCAUAUGACUUUUUUCAUGAUCAUCAACCACUUCGAUUCCCAGUGAGAGAGGAGUGACAUCCUGUAGCACAGUGUCCCACAUAACAUUAUCAUUAUUUCCACUUAACUUUGCAGCCAAUAUUGCAGCACCAAAAGCAACAGCCUCGUCACCAUUCAUGCUUUUGCAAACAGUCUUCCCAACGAAAAACUCCUCCACCAAUCUUUGUACUUUGGGAAUCCUAGUGGACCCCCCAACAACCACCACCUCAUCUACAUCCUUCUUCUUUAUCUCUCCAUCCAACAAACAUUUCUCCACCAAUUCCAUGCAUUUCUCAAAGUAACUUGAAUUUAGUUCCUCGAAUUUGGCUCGACUGAUUUUAAUGGAAAAGUCAAUCCCCCCAUACAAGCAGUCGAUUUCAAUUGGAGUAAAAGUAGUCGACGACAAAUCCCUCUUUGCUUUCUCACAAGCGACUUUCAACCUCCCCAUUGCUCUUGGAUUUCCUCUUACAUCCUCCCUGUGUUUUUUCUCAAACUCUUUUAUGCAGUAGUUAACGAGUGUCCUAUCAAAAUCCUCACCACCUAAAUGAGUAUCACCCCCGACCGCUUUCACAUCAAUCACUCCCGUUUUACUGAUUUUCAAAAGCGACACGUCGAAGGUACCACCGCCCAAAUCAAAGACCAAAACGUUUUUAUCAUUAUGCCAUGUUUGGUCAGCCAUAUGGUCCAAACCGUAAGCAAUUGCAGCUGCAGUAGGCUCGUUUAUCAAUUGCAUCACAUUGAGGCCAGCAAGGGUUCCUGCUUCCUUUGUUGCUUCUCUUUGAUUGUUGUUAAAAUAAGCAGGAACGGUGAUCACAGCAUCUGUUACCUCUCUUCCGAUAAAAGCUUCAGCAGACUCUUUCAACUUCUUGAGAACCAUGGCAGAUAACUCUUCAGCCGUUCAAAGUCAUCAACUUUUAAUCUCAGCCGUAUAAAGUCUCUAA
rnacentral:lncRNA from 1 species